rnacentral:rRNA from 1 species
UUUGAUGGCGACCGGCGCGCGGGUGAGUAACACGUAUCCAACCUGCCGAUGACUCGGGGAUAGCCUUUCGAAAGAAAGAUUAAUACCCGAUGGCAUAGUUCUUCCGCAUGGUAGAACUAUUAAAGAAUUUCGGUCAUCGAUGGGGAUGCGUUCCAUUAGCUUGUUGGCGGGGUAACGGCCCACCAAGGCAUCGAUGGAUAGGGGUUCUAAGAGGAAGGUCCCCCACAUUGGAACUGAGACACGGUCCAAACUCCUACGGAAGGCAGCAG